GCGCUGGUUUAGCUCAGUGGGUUACUUCCUCGUAAAAGUUAUUUCAUGGUCUGCAGGCUAGAAGUACGACCCCGGGCGCUGUCCAGUGCUUUU
ensembl:vault_RNA Vault Vault RNA